rnacentral:rRNA from 1 species
CAAGUCGAGCGGUAACAGGUGUAGCAAUACAUGCUGACGAGCGGCGGACGGGUGAGUAACGCUUGGGAAUCUGCCUGAUAGUGGGGGACAACCCGGGGAAACUCGGGCUAAUACCGCAUACGCACUACGGUGGAAAGCCGGGGACCGCAAGGCCUGGCGCUAUCAGAUGAGCCCAAGUCGGAUUAGCUAGUUGGUAGGGUAACGGCCUACCAAGGCGACGAUCCGUAACUGGUCUGAGAGGACGACCAGUCACACCGGAACUGAGACACGGUCCGGACUCCUACGGGAGGCAGCAGUGGGGAAUAUUGGACAAUGGGCGAAAGCCUGAUCCAGCGACGCCGCGUGGGUGAAGAAGGCCUGCGGGUUGUAAAGCCCUUUCGGUGGGGAAGAAAAGCCUCGAGCUAAUACCUCGGGGUCUUGACGUAACCCAUAGAAGAAGCACCGGCUAACUCUGUGCCAGCAGCCGCGGUAAUACAGAGGGUGCGAGCGUUAAUCGGAAUUACUGGGCGUAAAGCGCGCGUAGGCGGCUUUGCAAGUCGGGUGUGAAAUCCCCAGGCUUAACCUGGGAACUGCAUUCGAGACUGCAUUGCUAGAGUAUGGGAGAGGGAAGUGGAAUUUCCGGUGUAGCGGUGAAAUGCGUAGAUAUCGGAAGGAACAUCAGUGGCGAAAGCGACUUCCUGGACCAAUACUGACGCUCAUGUGCGAAAGCGUGGGGAGCAAACAGGAUUAGAUACCCUGGUAGUCCACGCCAUAAACGAUGAGAACUGGAUGUCGGGAGGGUCUGCCUCUCGGUGUCGUAGCUAAC